AGGUCCUUUUGGGAAGUAACGACUUGAGGGAGAGAGUGACGUUACUCAUUGAUACAGAGACACAACGAGGUUGAGCUGAUGUGAUGAUGGUGCUGCAAUGAGCGGAGUCUCCAGGGUUGUUAAUAAAUAGUUAACCUGUCUAGAAUAUGUCUUCAUACAUAUGUCUAGCUACUUUCCGCUGCAAGAUGUUGUUGAUGUUAUAGUAUGUUAUGUCAUACUUUGAGUCUUAAGAGAAUGGUUGCAUAUGAUGUAUAACUUGAUUAAUGAUAUUAAUUAACUUUUAUGCAGUCUUUCAUAGACUGUUUUCAAUUGAGUAUUAAUGAAUAAAAAUGACGAGUUUUAUUAAG